AAAGCGGUAUCGUAAAGCCUGAUGACCUUGGACGCUCGGAGAGCGUACCUAGCUGGCGCUGAAAUGCGUCGGGACAGAUUGAAAUCGGGGUUCAGGGUGAACCGCUUU
rnacentral:sRNA from 1 species